UACAGAGGUCUCAAGCGUUAUUCGGAUUCAUUGGGCGUAAAGGGUGCGUAGGUGGCGAUGUAAGUCUGGUGUGAAAUCUCGGAGCUUAACUCCGAAACUGCAUUGGAUACUGCGUUGCUUGAGGAUUGUAGAGGAGAGUGGAAUUCACGGUGUAGCAGCGAAAUGCGUAGAUAUCGUGAGGAAGACCAGUUGCGAAGGCGACUCUCUGGGCAAUUCCUGACACUGAGGCACGAAGGCCAGGGGAGCAAGCGGG
rnacentral:rRNA from 1 species